UACGUAGGGUGCGAGCGUUGUCCGGAAUUAUUGGGCGUAAAGAGCUCGUAGGCGGUGUGUCGCGUCGGUCGUGAAAACUUGGGGCUUAACCCUGAGCUUGCGGUCGAUACGGGCAUCACUGGAGUUCGGCAGGGGAGACUGGAAUUCCUGGUGUAGCGGUGAAAUGCGCAGAUAUCAGGAGGAACACCGGUGGCGAAAGCGCCUUGCUGGGUCUGCACUGACACUGAGGGACGAAAGCUAGGGGAGCGAAAGGG
rnacentral:rRNA from 1 species